AUGAAGUUGUUCCUUGUUAGACUCCUAAAAGAUCACGAUGUGCCUGGUUUUCGGACACAUAAUGCUUGGAGUAAGGAGGCAUGGAGAAAUAUUGUUUCUCGACUAAAUCAAAAGUUUGAUCAAUCAUUUACUCUCAACCAAGUCAAACAAAAGGAGCAAGAUCUGAAGAGAGACUAUCGAAGUCUUCAAGAAUUGUUGGAUCAAAGUGGCUUUGGAUGGGAUAAGGACAGAAAAAUGGUUGACGCACCAGAUAGUGUUUGGGCAAGCUUUGCUGCUCGGAAGAACAGCAAGGAUGUUCUACAAUGGAAAGAAAGGUCAUUUCCCCUUUAUGAAGAAUUAGAUCCACUCUAUGAAGGUCGCUAUGCUGAAGGGAGAACUCGUCAAGGCUUGGACCAUUAUACUAGGAAGAGGAAGCAUGCACCGGUUCCUUCAUCACAGUCAACACAAGUGACUAGUCUGUAUCAAUCACCAUCACCUACCAUGCCAGCUGCCAAUGAGUCAGAUAUGCGGUUUACUUUAGAUGAAAAACUUGAGGAGUUCAAUGUGGAUUCUCCCCCACUCCUAUCUACACCAAUUCAGCAUGUGCAAGCCCCACCAAGAUCUACACAAAUGGAGAAACAUGACACUAGGCGUGGGAAAAAACAAAAACGUGGUGCUAAUGACGACUUCCAUGAGAAGUAUCUAAAACUAAAGAAGGAAAAAAUUGAUCGAUUUGCUGCAAUUGAGGAGAAGAAGCUAGAGGACCCCUACUCCAUCAACAAGUGCAUCACAUCAAUUGAAGGGUUGGAAGGUCUACAACUAGGAGAUAUGUUGAUGGCAUCAGAUAUCUUCAAAUGCAAGGAGAACAGGGAAAUUUUCUUGUCAUACUCUACUAAUGAACUACGACUGGCUUGGCUUAAAAGAGAGAUUGUGCGUGCCCAAACAACCCAUCAAAAUUAG
rnacentral:rRNA from 1 species